GGGGAAACUCGAGCUAAUACCGCAUAAUCCCUACGGGGGAAAGCAGGGGACCUUCGGGCCUUGUGCAGAUGGAUGAGCUCGCGUCGGAUUAGCUUGUUGGUGAGGUAAAAGCUCACCAAGGCGACGAUCCGUAGCUGGUCUGAGAGGAUGAUCAGCCACACCGGGACUGAGACACGGCCCGGACUCCUACGGGAGGCAGCAGUGGGGAAUCUUGGACAAUGGGGGCAACCCUGAUCCAGCCAUGCCGCGUGUGUGAAGAAGGCCUUCGGGUUGUAAAGCACUUUCAGUAGGGAGGAAGGCUUAGGAUUAAUAAUCGUGAGUACUUGACGUUACCUCAGGAU
rnacentral:rRNA from 1 species